CAUAUCAAUAAGCGGAGGAAAAGAAACUAACAAGGAUUCCCCUAGUAACUGCGAGUGAAGCGGGAAAAGCUCAAAUUUAAAAUCUGAGGGUCUUACGGCCUUCCGAGUUGUAAUCUAGAGAAGUGCUAUCCGCGCUGGACCGUGUACAAGUCUCCUGGAACGGAGCGUCAUAGAGGGUGAGAAUCCCGUCUUUGACACGGACUACCAGGGCUUUUGUGAUGCGCUCUCAAAGAGUCGAGUUGUUUGGGAAUGCAGCUCUAAAUGGGUGGUAAAUUCCAUCUAAAGCUAAAUAUUGGCGAGAGACCGAUAGCGAACAAGUACCGUGAGGGAAAGAUGAAAAGAACUUUGGAAAGAGAGUUAAACAGUACGUGAAAUUGUUGAAAGGGAAACGCUUGAAGUCAGUCGCGUUGGCCAGGAAUCAACCUUGCUUUUGCUUGGCGUACUUUCUGGUUAACGGGUCAGCAUCAAUUUUGAUCGGUGGAUAAAGAUCAGGGGAAUGUGGCAUCUUCGGAUGUGUUAUAGACUCUGGUCGCAUACAUCGGUUGGGAUUGAGGAACUCAGCACGCCGCAAGGCCGGGUAUUUACCACGUACGUGCUUAGGAUGCUGGCAUAAUGGCUUUAAUCGAC
rnacentral:rRNA from 1 species